rnacentral:rRNA from 1 species
GACGAACGCUGGCGGCGUGCUUAACACAUGCAAGUCGAACGGAAAGGCCCUGCUUUUGUGUGGUGCUCGAGUGGCGAACGGGUGAGUAACACGUGAGUAACCUGCCCUUGACUUUGGGAUAACUUCAGGAAACUGGGGCUAAUACCGGAUAGGAGCUCCUGCUGCAUGGUGGGGGUUGGAAAGUUUCGGCGGUUGGGGAUGGACUCGCGGGUUAUCAGCUUGUUGGUGGGGUAGUGGCUUACCAAGGCUUUGACGGGUAGCCGGCAUGGGAGGGUGGACGGCCACCUUGGGACUGCGAUACGGCCCAGACGGGUACGGGAGGCAGCGGUGGGGAAUAUUGCACAACGGGGCGACGCCUGAUGAGGAGACGCCGCGAGCGGGAUGACGGCCUACGGGUUGUAAACCGCAUUAGCCUGUGACGAAGCUUGAGUGACGGUAAUGGGUAAAGAAGCACCGGCUAACUACGUG